rnacentral:lncRNA from 1 species
GGUUCGGCUCGCCGCCGGGGACCCCCUGCACGUGGACACGGUCCUCGAGCGGAAUCUCCGCCCAGAGACGGCGCCGAUGGGGCCCAGCCGCGGAGUCGGCUGGCUGCAGCGGCGGAGCGGGAGGUGGCGGGCAGACAUCGGUCUUGGUGGGGAGCUCCACGAGGAGCUGGGCGACCUCGGUCUCCUCGGUGUCAACGGGGAGGGGGAAGUGCCCGACGGCGGCGGCGGAGGCUGAGCGAAGCCUCCGGGCGGCGGCCUUGCAGUUGUGGCAAGCGAAGGACGCCUCGCCGCGGACGUAGCGG